UUCCAAAAACAGUGGUUAAAAAUACUAAAACUAAAUGAUACAGAGAAGAUUAGCAGACCCUGUGCGAGGAUGACACACAAAUUCAUCAGGUGUUCCAUUUUUUU
ensembl:snRNA U6 U6 spliceosomal RNA